AAUUAGUUUUUUAAUUGGAAAAUAGAAUGAAUGGUACCACUAAGAUAUCUUUUUUAGGACAUAUUUCGAAAUUUUAGUUUAAGUGAAAAUACUUAAAAAUGUUUUUAAGACGAGAAGACCCUAUGAAGCUGAUAGAUAUAAAAUAUUAUUAGCUAUUUUAAUAAAAAUCUAUUUUUUGGGGUAAAAAUUAAAAUUAUUAUUUAAAUACAUAUAUAUAAAAUGAGCCUCUCGGAAUAAUAAAAAAGCUCCUCUAGGGAUAACAGCAUUAUACCUAUAAGAGUUCUUAUCAGAAUAGGUGU
rnacentral:rRNA from 1 species